rnacentral:rRNA from 1 species
CGAAGCCGCGAGGCUAAGCCAAUCCCACAAAUCUGUUCUCAGUUCGGAUCGCAGUCUGCAACUCGACUGCGUGAAGCUGGAAUCGCUAGUAAUCGCGGAUCAGCAUGCCGCGGUGAAUACGUUCCCGGGCCUUGUACACACCGCCCGUCACACCACGAGAGUUUGUAACACCCGAAGUCGGUGAGGUAACCUUUUGGAGCCAGCCGCCGAAGGUGGGACAGAUGAUUGGGGUGAAGUCGUAACAAGGUAGCCGUAUCGGAAGGUGCGGUUG